GCGUUUUGGUUUUGACGUACGGAACGUGCACAUCACCGCGAGGAGCUGGGAGCAACCAAGCAGCAAAACCCGCCCGAUGGAGCUGAGUUUCGUCUGCUCUGUGUCUGGCCCCUGACUCCUCGUCUUGUCUCCCAGGCUCCCCUCCUUGUGCCCAACCCUGCUGUGGCUUGAGUCUCUACCAUCUCUCCAGCUGUCUCCCAAACCUGUUCAGUUGGUCUCCACCAUCUCUUCAUCACCAUCCUCAGUAGUUCAUGCAUGCAGGCAUGUCGAAGAAAACAGUGUGUGACAAGCAGCCGGAGAACAAGUCGACAGGCUGUCUCAAAAACGAGGGAGGCGACAGAUCAAACUACCAGACCUUUCCACAGACAAUAAAAACCAGACGCCCCACCGCUAUGCUGCUUACCUUCCAGGGAGGAAUGGCUUGUCCUCAGUUAAACUCAUGGAGGCCAGGUGGAGAGCAGGACACAGAGGAGAGGAGCUUGGCCAGUCACCGAGAGGGAGACGGACAGGGGUGAGAGACGGAGAGGGGAGAGACAGAGAGAGAGAGAAGAGCACUGGACCUGUUUCAAGCUCACACUGAACAGUCUGCUUAAGCUUUGCCUUUUGUGAUUUGGGCGCAUGCCUUGGCCAGUGACAAGUCUGCGAGGUGUGCAGGGAGCAUAACUCAGAAUCGGAUCCAUGAGUGAGCAGUGAAGAGAGUCUGAGUCAGAGGAGACGAAUUCACCAGAGCCCCUGACUGCCCUUUCUGCUCAAGUGUCUUCUUGGUAACAAACAAGAUUAAUGUGUUGUUGUCUGGGUGUGUGUGAGGUGUGAACUUAAAGGAGGCAUGUGAGGAAUACAGAAAAGAAGUAAAAUGCAAUGGAGCCCUGAAAUAAUGUGGGAAUUGUGUGGUAUAGCAGAAAUAUAUGUCUAUUUUUCACUUUAAGUAAUGAAAAAAAAGUCUAGUUUAUGUGUUGAAAGGUUGCGCCUGGAAGCAGUGGAAUAUCUCUCCUCCUCUCACUUUCUGUAUGUGCAUGAGCAUGCAUGAACCUACAUGAUUACCCAGGUUUUAUAUUUGUGUCUCGACAUCACUCCGUCUGUCGCUCAGCACUUCCAACAAAAAUUUUGGUGUCUCUC